rnacentral:miRNA from 1 species
UUUUAACUUCAUGUGUAACUACUGAAGGAAUCCCUUUAUAAGGCAUUCCUUCAGUAGUUACACAUGAAAUAGGUU